CGCGCACCCAGUUUGAAAGACAAAAUUUCUCUCGGGCCCAUAAUUUCCCAAAUUCCAUUUUCGUUUUGUAUUUAUUUCCAAACUAACCUCCAGAGAGGCGAGAGCGAAGGUGAUGAUUUUAUCAACAAAGAGUCGAUGAAGGUCGUCAUCAACAGUGGUUUAUGGUGAUUCAACCAACAAAGAUGACCUCGCAGAUAAAGUGAAAAGAAAAGUCAUUCCUUGACGGAAUCUGUAUCAUCAAAACUAAGUCACCGGUGUGAAAGUAAAAUGGAACAAUUAGCGUAACAAUGUGGAUGGAAGAGGAUUCACUAAAUAUGUGAAGGGUGGUGAAACCCCCAUUAGUCAUCCCAGUCAGGGGUUCGGAUCGUUUAAUGAAAAAAUGUUAGAAUUCGGUCUUUAUUUCACUUUCAGUAGGAGAACUUUUGAACUCUAUUCAAGUUGUGGUCGUCUUGUGGUCUCCUCACUGUACUAAUAUGAUCGUCUUGUGGUCUAUUUUUUUUCAUUUGGUUUCUCUU